ACUAUGGCGCCAAUUUCUAAGAAUUUCUUAUGCAUGACUAUAUAGUGCCUUGCAAUUCCAAGAAAAAGCUCUUAUGAAUAUCAUAUAAGUAGACUAUUGCGAGUUCCGGGAAUAAUGUUGACAACUGAAUCAACAAUUCUUAGAGCUGUGUAUAUAGUCUACUGUAUGUAUCUAGUUAACUUCCCUAAUGGGAAGUAAAGUAUUAUGGCAGGUGAGAAUAGCCAUCUUAAAGAAGCUGAGAAGUAUAUGAAAGAUCUUUUUCAAAAAGCUAAUGAAAAAGAGAAUCUGUGUAAAAGUCAUGAAACACACCUCUCGGAACAAAAGAAGCAGAUUAAGCACUUCACUCAAAAACUAAACUGAAGAACUUGAAGAGUAGAUCUAUAUAUAGAGCCAUGUUAAAUCAUAUUAAAUUUAUUUUUUAGAAAAUAUGACCAACUACAGCCAGAAACUGCAGAACUAGACACGUAAAAAAAACUGAAGCUAUGUAUUUCAUGCACUUAAUAUUACACAGAAAAGAGAGUUCAUCUCGUGAUGCUCGUAAAAUGUAUGGUGAUGUUACUCCUGGAGACACUACACAUCAAGAUGUCAUACUACUGUAUCAAAAUUAUUUUAAGAAUGCAUUUCGUAAUUUACCUAAAGAUCUAAAGACAGAAUCAAAAGAAGAAAAAUACGAACUCUGGAGAAAGGCAGUAGAUAUUUUUAUGGCAAGCUUUGAACAAAAUCAAAUUACUAUCAUUGAGAUGAUGACAUCAGCAAUAGAAGAAAACUCAUUAUUAUAUCCUCCUCUAGCUGCUUGCAAGGAAACAGAUGAAAAAAAGAGGACUUAGAGCAAAUUAUUAUAGAGCAUUCCAUGUCUUUCUUAAAGAAUUGCUGGAAUGAGAAAAAAAUGAAGAACAAGAUAAAAGAAAGGAUUUAGGUAUGAGGAGAGGUAUAAGGUAGCAUGUAUUAGUGUAAUACUUGUAAAUUUAUUUUUAACCAUAACACUUUUGUAUGCAGUUACUGGGAGAAUGUCAUUCUAAAGGAUGGGAUGAAAGAACUGCAAAUCAUUACAUUGAUUUUCUCAUAGAUAUACUUGUACAGCUUGACCCAGAAGAUUAUCAUAGCUUCAUUCAGAAAGGGAAAAAGCAUACCAAACCAGAAUCUGAAGUAUCUAUUGACAGAAGCAAUUCGGUUGAUGCUAGCACUGAGAACUAGAACUGAAGAAAGAAAGAUUAAGAGUAGAUGUGCUGCUUGUGAAAGGUUUCACAAAUAAUCCAGGUGAUACUCCUACUCUUCAAAUGGACUUGUAUUGGCACCAUCGUCACUCCUGCUGUGCUAGAUGUAACAAGACAAUUGAUGAAAAUUAUCGAUAUUUAAUGAACUAUGAUAUGGUUUACUGCAGUAGGCUCUAUAGUUGCUUGUGCAGUAGGUGUCAACAUCCUUUAGAUGAUAAAGCUCUUGAUACUGGACAUGGUUUAUAUCAUGGGCUUUGUUUCACCUGUGUUCACUGUUGCCGUGUUACAGAAAGUAUGGUAGUUGUUGGAGAUUCUCUUGUGUGUGGAAACUGCAUACAACACUACAAUUAAUAUAAAUAAACUGAACACUGAACAAUAAUUAGACUAUUAGACUAGAAGUGUUUUAUUUUACUAAAAAUUGAUUUCUGGCUAAACCUAAAA